rnacentral:rRNA from 1 species
UACGUAAGGGGCAAGCGUUAUCCGGAUUUACUGGGUGUAAAGGGAGCGUAGACGGUGAGGCAAGUCUGAUGUGAAAACCCGGGGCUCAACUCCGGGAUUGCAUUGGAAACUGUCUGACUUGAGUACUGGAGGGGUAAGCGGAAUUCCCGGUGUAGCGGUGAAAUGCGUAGAUAUCAGGAGGAACACCGGUGGCGAAGGCGGCUUACCGGACAGUAACUGACGUUGAGGCUCGAAAGCGUGGGGAGCAAACAGGAUUAGAUACCCCGGUAGUCCCUGAGCGGGCUGGCAA